UAUACGUUGGAGGCCAAUAUUAUAUCGGGCAAAAGCUUUCAGUGGAUCAUAGUCAAUUGAAAGGAAAUUUGCAAUUUUAAAGUUUUGAUUAAAGUUGCAAUCAAAUAUGAUUAUUUAAAAGAUAAUAAAUGUGAUAAACCUACAUUCAAUAUAAUUUUGUUUUGGUCAUAGAGAUUUGUGUUACUACAACAAAUACUACAUCUUUAUCUACAACAAAUAUUCCAUCUACAUGUGGUAUAAAUGGCAUGUUUACAAAUUAUUACUUUUCAAUAUGAAUAUGCAUUUCUUAGCAAUCGCAAUUUUUAUUUUUUAUUACAACUUUGUUAACCUUUAGUUACAAGUGUUAAUCAAGCUGUAGCAGCUGCUACAAGUGGUAAUACAAGUGCCUUAUAAACAAUUAUUUUUUAAUAUAUGUAUCUUUUAUGUAUGUGUUAAAAUGUUGUUUUAAAUAUGUGCAUGCCUUUUUUAUAAAUUGCAAAUAAAAUUUGAUUCUAUUACAACUUUUUUUUACCUUUAGUCCCACAACCUCCUCAACAUGCUCGACAACCUUCUGCUGGGACCAGCACCCUGGACCGAGUAGCAUUGGUCAUUUUUGUGAUGGGUUAUGAGAGAAUGAUGGUGAAUUAUUCAGCUUAGCCCAUCAUCCUCCUAACAGGGUACUGGGAGCAGAAGGGGAUAUCACCAUGAGGAGAGCGUGGUUUUAUUUAUAUACAUAUUUUGUAUUGUGAAACUUUUUAAAAUAUAAGUUUUAAAACUUUGGGUUCUUUUUAGGGUGGAUACUCAAACCUGCAUCUUGUAAUGUGGUAAGAUUUGUAAAGUUUUGUCUCUUUUUUAACACAAUUUAAAGACAUUUUCAAAUUUUUUAUUGACAUUUUUUUAUAAUUUGAAUAAGAAGAGGCUGGGGGGCAUUGGAUGUGGCACACACCCCUACCCUUACUAACAUGGUAAAAAUAUUAUUGUCUUAACGAUUAAUUCAAGCUUUUUUUUUUGUUUUCUUCUAUACAUUGCUUCUUUAAAAUAUCUUGAGAAACUUUAAUAGGAAAAUUGUUAAUUUUAGCAUAUUAUAACAAUGUAUGACUUAUUAUGAAAUCUGUUAACAGUUUUCUCACAAUCGUUUAAAACUUUUAUAGCAUUAUGUCAGGUAUUGAAUGGUUCUUUAAACAGUUUAUUUAAUAUAUCAUGUGGUAUAAAUGGUAUGUUUACAAAUUAUUACUUUUCAAUAUGAAUAUGCAUUUCUUAGCAAUCGCAAUUUUUAUUUUUUAUUACAACUUUGUUAACCUUUAGUUACAAGUGUUAACCAAGCUGUAGCAGCUGCAACAAGUGGUAAUACAAGUGCCUCAUAAACUAUUAUUUUUUAAUAUAUGUAUCUUUUAUGUAUGUGUUAAAAUGUUGUUUCAAAUAUGUGCAUGCCUUUCUUAUAAAUUGAAAUAAAACAUCAAUAGGAAAAUUGUUAAUUUUAGCAUAUUAUAAAAAUGUAUGGCUUAUUAUGUAAUCUGUUAACAGUUUUCUUACAAUCGUUUAAAAUUUUUAUAGCAUUACGUCAGGUAUUGAAUGGUUCUUUAAACAGUUUACUUAAUAUAUACAUGUGGUAUAAAUGGUAUGUUAUUACUUUUCAAUAUGAAUAUGCAUUUCUUAGCAAUCGCUAAUUCAAUACGUCAGGUAUUGAAUGGUCCUUUAAACAGUUUACUUAAUAUAUCAAUAUUAUCAUUUUGGAAUAUUUAACUCUCUGUGCUUACUUUUGAAAACUUCAUUGAUACCCUUGAAUGAUAUAUCAGAUACAUUAACGCUUCGUAUAAAUAAUGAUGGUGUACCUUUAUCAAGAUGUUUAGUUUUAUGUAUUUGGCCUAUUCUUGGUAUGGUAAAAGAACUACCUCAUCUUGGUGUCUUUACAAUAGGCAUCUACUCAGGAACUUCCAAGCCUAACCGUGUAAAUGAUUAUUUAAAAGCUUUUGUUGAUGAUAUGUUGACAGUAGCAAAAAUUGAUGUAUUUUUUAAUGACAAAAAAUUUAAUAUUACUUUUGAUGGUUUUAUUUGUGAUGCACCUGCAAGAUCAUUUUUAAAGUGUACGAAAGGGCAUUCUGGAUAUUAUGGCUGUGAAAGGUGUACACAGAAAGGGGAGUACUUUAACAAUCGUAUAAUAUUUCCUGAACUUUCUCCUCCUUUAAGAACUGAUGAGCAAUUUAAUGCAUUUAUUUGACAUGGUCAUCAUAAUGGAAAAUCUUCUUUGCAUGACACAAGUAUUGGUGUUGUUGGUCAAUUUGUUUUAAACUAUAAAUAUAUAAAAUUUACUAUAUAAAAUGUAAACGUCUUAUAUUUUUGUAAAUAAUAAAAUCGACUUAGUUAA